AUUAGUGGAGUCACAUGACGCAGCUAUGCUUUCUGUCAACAGACCAAUAUGAUAAAGACACUCGCCCCCCCUCCCCCCUCCACCCUGACCUCUUCUCACUGUUAAUCACUCUCAGUCAGUAUGUCUGUCUAUUUCUCCUCCUCUCUCUCUCCCUCUAUCUCUUCCUCACCACCCCUCCUUUCCUCACCCUCUCACCCUCCCUCCCUCUAUCUACACCCCCCCCAACCCACCCAAUCCAAUAAUUUCAAAAUAAAAGCCACAUGGAGGGAAUUUUUACUGUAAUGUUUGUGAUGAGGCCUAUUAAUUAAAAACUUCUUAGUUUGAAUAACAAACAUUCUGUCUCCCACUACGAAUAUUACUCGUACUUCUAGUACUACAACUGAUACUUCUACUACCAUACUACUAGUAUUUCUACUGCUAUUAAUACUACAACUACUACUAAUGUUAUUACAAAUACGACUAUGGCUAAUAGUAUUACAGCUGUUUCUACUGCUAUUGAUACUAAACCUACUAUUACUGCUUAUACUGCUAGUACUACUAAUACCACAAUUAUAACUAAUACUACUACUAAUAUUACUACAAACAAUUUUAAACAAAUUUAAGCUCCUGCAACUUCUGUUUUUAGAAAAUCUAUUGAAAUUCAGCUUCCCCACUUCCUGUAUUUUCAGCAGUUCUUUAAAAUAAUUUCAGCUAUUCUUAUGCCUCUAUCAACAGCAAUUUUUCACUAUUCAUUUCUGUAUUUUUUUGCAAUAUUUCAAAUUUAUUUCAGCUGUUUUCAUUUCUGCUUUUUCAGCAAAUCUAUUGAAAUUCCUUUCAGCUUCUCCCAUUUCUGUAUUUUCAGCAAUUUCAAAUUCAUUUCAGCUUUUCUAAUCUUUUCAGCAAAUGUAUUCAAAUUCCCUUCAACUUUCUGUAUUUUCAGCUAUUUUCAAAUAUUCAGUGCAGCUUUCAGCUUUUUGCAUUCCAACGCAUUUUCAGCAGGAAAUGCAUUUUCUAGAAAUGCUUUUUGUUGGAAUGCAUUAACGAUGCAUUCCAAGUAUUGUUCUUCGAAUCUUUAUUUCCGACUUAUUAUUAUUCUAUUUCUUCCGCGCGACCUUUCAACUCCUUCACAUUUUCAGCUAUUUAAACCGUUCAAAUAUUAAAAUGUUCAGCUCCUUUCUGGCUUUAAGGCUAUGACUUUUAAGCUUUCUACCACUUAUGCUUGAAUUUAUAUAAAUCAAUAAUCAUAAAUAUUUUAACAUGGUUUUCCAAUGGAAAUUGUUUUCAAAUCCUCCUUAAACUUCUUCAACUUUCAGACUUUUCAGCUUCCC
ensembl:lncRNA